CACGUAGGGUGCGAGCGUUGUCCGGAAUUAUUGGGCGUAAAGAGCUCGUAGGCGGUCUGUCGCGUCUGCUGUGAAAACCCGAGGCUCAACCUCGGGCCUGCAGUGGGUACGGGCAGACUAGAGUGCGGUAGGGGAGAUUGGAAUUCCUGGUGUAGCGGUGGAAUGCGCAGAUAUCAGGAGGAACACCAAUGGCGAAGGCAGAUCUCUGGGCCGUAACUGACGCUGAGGCGCGAAAGCAUGGGGAGCGAACGGG
rnacentral:rRNA from 1 species